rnacentral:rRNA from 1 species
GGGGAUAAUUCUGAAUAGAUCACCUAUGCUGGAAUGCUUUGUGAUUAAAAGAUCCGUCGCCCAAGGAUGGGUCUGCGGCCUAUCAGGUUGUAGUGGGUCUAGAGUACCUACUAGUCAACGACGGGUACGGGUUGUGAGAGCAAGAGCCCGGAGAUGGAUUCUGAGACAUUAAUCCAGGCCCUACGGGGCGCAGCAGGCGCGAAACCUUUACACUGCUGGAAACCGCGAUAAGGGGACACCGAGUGCCAGCAUACAAUGCUGGCUGUCCACAUGUGUAAAUAGCAUGUGAUAGCAAGGGCCGGGCAAGACCGGUGCCAGCCGCCGCGGUAACACCGGCGGCCCGAGUGGUAAUCACUAUUAUUGGGUCUAAAGGGUCCGUAGCCGGUUUAAUCAUUCUUCCGGGAAAUCUGGCACCUCAACUGUUAAGCUACCGGGGGAUACUGUUAGACUUGGGACCGGGAGAGGUAAGAGGUACUACAGGGGUAGGAGUGAAAUCUUGUAAUCGCUGUGGGACCUCCUGUGGCGAACGCGUCUUACCAGAACGGGUCCGACGGUGAGGGACGAAAGCUGGGGGCACGAACCGGAUUAUGUACCCGGAUACUCCCAGCCGUAAACGAUGCUCGCUAGGUGUCUGGAAUGGUGCGACCGUUUCAGGUGCCGCAGGGAAGCCGUGAACCGAGCCACCUGGGAAGUACGGCCGCAAGGCUGAAACUUAAAGGAAUUGGCGGGGGAGCAC